AUGUGUUAACGCUAGAACUACCAAUGACUAAGGUAUAAACCGCAUUCCAAAGAACUCAAGCCGAAAUAUAAAAAGAUACAUAAUACAAGAGAAGAAAAACAAGCCUUUAUCCGGUAUACAUCGUCAAAAAUCAUUAAAAUAUCUAAAAAUACGCCAUAGCAAAUCUGCAAAAUUUCUAUGAAAAAUGAUCAAUUUAUCAUUUUGACGAUAUUCAAGUAGUUCUAACUUUAAAUAGAAUUUUCAAAUCCCCUGGCGAAUAGUUGCCAAUGGAGAUGUGAGAAAUGGGCGUGCUCUCCGCGUAAAAAGCCAACGAACAAUAUACAUAUGUAGAAAACUAGACAUGUGUCAUCGGACCGGCUAAUAGUGUAUCCAUCAGCAGCUUCUUAAAAGAUCGCGCACAAUCGUUGGAACAGGUGAUGGUGUUACGAUGAUCUCACCGAAGUUGUCCUUCGAAAUCACAACAUCGCCGAUGAAAAUUUUACCGCCGUUCCGUCCGUCCACCUGUUUCACGACACGUUUGUUUUAUUCUUACGACGUUUAAAGGAAUUUGAAUCGAUCGACCGCUACUUAGAAAACAGAUAUCCCAUGGGGACCAAAAGGGAAAAAAGGGAACACACGGGGCUGGGCAAACGGGCACACCCGCGAACUAGCAUUGAUCGCCGACGCUUCGUUUGUUCGUUUCACUCAAUACCUCGGUUAUUACUAGAUAUCUCGAUGUACGUCACUAAUCAAUUGUAUGUUUCUUCACGUCAAUGACAAUAGCUCACCUAUCUCAACGUUUUAAGACGUGUUUGAUUAUUAAAAUUCCGUCAUCACCAAGGCAUCAUCGAAAAACCACUGACUCGCACACGUAACGUAGCGCACCGUACGGUACUGUACACUAGUGUGGAUGUGCACGUUGCAUGUAUUGCAGACUCGAUCCCCACCUAGUGUCUUCGGUCACACCGUUUUACACUACUAAGUUUUCACUGAACUUUAAGGUCCACUCACAUAGGAGUGUAGCAGUAUUUCGUUAUCUGGCCAUGGGUCAUCACCAAACCUGGCCAGUUAGCAAGAUAGGAUCUGCAUUACGGUUCUCUUAUACUUUUGAUCUAAUAUUAUUAGUAAAAUUUUACAUUAAUUAUAGAUUAGGAUUAAUAUAUUCUUUUUUAGACAAGAAUAACAAUUAAUGUUUGAUGAUUAAACAAAUGGAACUUUAAAAGUAAAUUUUAUGAAUUACAAGUCAUCCGAUUAUACUAUUUUACCUGAAAUCGUAAAGAUAUAAAGUGUUUUAUCCCAUCACUUGUAAUCCAGGGAUUCUAUCUUCUAAAUCUACAUAUAUCCAUCGAGCUCUCAAAACUUUGAAUCUAUGAAGAUUUUUAGAACAUUCAAGAUCAAGGUAUUCGAGACUUAUCGAAACAUUAACGAUUUAAGGUUUAUUAAAACCUUAGACAGUUUCUAAUACUGAAUCAUGCAAAAAAUAGUUCGAAUCUUAACAAUAUUGUAAAACUUCGAUUUGUUUCGAAAUUGAGAUUCAAACACUCAUUGUUAUAGAAAUUCAACCAAGAUAUCACGGCUCCAAUAUCUAAAGAUUAAACAAACGGUGUGAGUAUUCCUUUAUAGGAGUGAAUCUUUAUAGUCUCUUGGCCAAUAACGGUCGAGACAAAUCGAAAGCAUCUUGUCGCGCCAGAUUCAAAAAAAGCGCGCCUCCUAAGCAAACGAAGCUACUAUGUAUAGCCUGUAUAGGAUCUUAAAGUGCAGCUGUGUAUACUUUGCAAAAAGGGGGAAGUGAUAUAUUUUAGAAUUGAUACGUGUCAAAGAAAGGUAAUAUGGUUUUUUAAGACACGAGUGUAACAGUUUGUCACGAUAAUAUUUUAUAAAGGAGAGAUAAAAAACUUAAUGUAAAAAUGACAAACGAUCGUAAAAGAUGAGAAACUAUGCCAUUAAUUAAUUAUCGGUAAAUUAUCGUAUAUAUGGUAAGUAUGAGAACAAUUGAUAUAUAAAUGGUAUUCCAGGUAAAGAGAUACAAAUAUUAUAACAAGAUAACUAACACAUGUAUAUUCUAAGAACCAAUAGCAAAUCUCUUCUGUCAUAAGAAAUACGUCUGAGUCUGAGCAAAUUUAAACUUCGAUCGAAUGCUCGAUAUAAAAAUAUAGGUCGAGCCGUAUGCUAUGACUUACACGGAUAUUUAAUAAAAUUGAUGAUUUUCAUUGUAUUGUAGAAAGCCAAGAUGCAAAAAUUAUCAUGUCUCUGAAUACAAAAUAUGUUAACAAUUAUGUACGUAACCAUAUUUGGUUUUCGUAUCAGUUCAGACCACACACAGAGAGACAACGAGCGCUGCUUACAAAACACUUAACCGCAUCGUUUCUUUUGGCGUUAAUUGAUAGAUCGUGUGCAAAGGAUACGUUCUAUGAGACGUACUGGAUACCAAAUAAGUUAAUGUUCGUACUGAAUAUGAUAUAUCUUUCGUUUUAUUUGAUUUUUCCGUUUCGUUAAUCGCGUUUACUUCUUGCAUUAAAAGUUAUAUAAUAUUUGUUAUACUUAGGCAUCAAAAUAAAGUUGUUGUAGGAAGUAAAGUAGGAAAUAGUGAAGAAAGUAAACUAUAUUUGCAUAUAAUUUUCAUCUGUCUUGGAUAAAUGACAAGUUUAAUAAUUUCUACUUCAUCUUGUUUGAUACUUGAUCCUCAGAGUAGAUAAUUUGGCAAAGUAUCAAAAAUUGCAGUGCGGUUUAUAGGACAUGUAAAAGCAUUGUCACAAAUUUAGAUUGAGCUACACGAAACCGACAAACUCAAACGUAUAUUUUGGAUUAUUAUAUUAAGACAUGAUUUCCUUGCGAUUGUAAAUUUAUUGCUUUAUUAUCAAUUUACAAAAUAAAAAUUUAAUGAAUAUAUAUUAUAUAAACGUUAAUAAUAGUAGGAUUAAUGAUAGAAAAAGGUCGUCCAAUCUUCUUCAUACUGACUUUGUACAAUUUGAAAAUAAAGAAUAAGCCUUAAUAUGUGUUUGCAUCUUAGGUACUUUUCUGAUUAGUCAGUUUAAUUAGUAACAUUUAAUUUCAUUAAAAAACAUGAUAUAAUAAAAAUAAUUUAAAUAUACAACAGUAUAAUUAAAUACAUUGUAUAUCUAUUUAAAAUCUAAUUAAAAGUAAUGGAGUCUUGCAUAUUUGUAUAAAUUAAAAAUCACUUUGUAAUUAUUUAUA